rnacentral:lncRNA from 1 species
CCCAUAGAGGUAAUAGAAGCUGAUGGCUUUCAGUACAUCCAGUAAUCCAACUCCUAGAGCCAUGCUUGAAGUUAAGUAAAACCCUUGUAGUGGUCAGCAAGUUUUGGCGAAGAUUUUGAAAAACAGGGAUACAAAGGGAACUGUGGCAGCUGAAUUCUCUUUCAUGUAUGUCCAGUCCAGGUGAAGCCCAGCAUAAUGUACUGUAAUAUGUCUCUUCAGUUCUCUGAUACAAUGACCUGUACAUCCUCUAAAUCCCCCACAGAAUGCACAGACAUAGACUGAUUGAGUACAUCAGUAGGUCUUUUUCUAUUUCAUCGGACCCUCAGUGGCCAGGCUCCUCUGCCUGUGGCUGUGCUUGGCUGGAGUUCCUAGGAGACAGCCCUAAGGAAAAAAUCAUCCUGUAUUUUCCCAAGUCACAUAGAACUUGAAAGCAGCAAAGCUUCUGUCUCCCAUAUGUGUAACAGAAGCAUUUAUGCUUAUGUCCACUUUUUGUCUGUAUUGAGUAAGAAGAUGUGAUUUGGUCUGCAGCUUGCCAAAGCCAUUAGCUGCUUGUGUAAUUCUGGGAGGUUGUCAAAGCAGUUUUGGUCUUUACUGAGGAUUCUUUAAGACAACUGCUCUGUUUGAAGUUCUUCGCUGGUUUGAAGUGCUACAACAGACUGGUGGAUUUGCGGACAGAUUUCGGGCAAGAUAUAAAUUGGUAAGAUAAGUGCAGCCUCCCAUGGGACUCUGCACACUGAACAUUGUCACAAUCACUAUUGUGGGCUGCAUCUCUACAGGCUUGUCUGCAGGAAUGCAGUAGUACUUUUGGCUGUGCCUGGAAAACAUAAACAAGCAUUUCUUCUACUAAGGAUUGUAUUUAGCAGCAGACAUUUGAUUUGCUGCAGAAUGACUGAACAGGUAAAUUAUUGAUAUAUUGAUAUAUAUAUUGAUAUAUUUAACAAUCAGAUUUUGUUAUAUGCUGAAC